UAAAUAAAAUAAAACUUAACAAAAUAAAAUAGGAAUGAUACAGAGAAGAUGAGUUGGUCCCCGUGCAAAAAUGACAUGUAAAUUCGUGAAGCAUUCUAUAUUUUU